rnacentral:rRNA from 1 species
AGAGUUUGCUUUUGGGUCAGGAUGAACGCUAGCGGCAGGCUUAACACAUGCAAGUCGAGGGGCAUCGGGAGGGAAGCUUGCUUUCCUUGCCGGCGACCGGCGCACGGGUGAGUAACACGUAUGCAACCUGCCCUCUUCAGGGGGACAACCUUCCGAAAGGGAGGCUAAUCCCGCGUAUAUCGGUUUCGGGCAUCCGAGAUCGAGGAAAGAUUCAUCGGAAGAGGAUGGGCAUGCGGCGCAUUAGCUUGACGGCGGGGUAACGGCCCACCGUGGCGACGAUGCGUAGGGGUUCUGAGAGGAAGGUCCCCCACACUGGUACUGAGACACGGACCAGACUCCUACGGGAGGCAGCAGUGAGGAAUAUUGGUCAAUGGGAGAGAUCCUGAACCAGCCAAGCCGCGUGAGGGAAGACGGCCCUAUGGGUUGUAAACCUCUUUUGUCGGAGAACAAAACCCGGGACGUGUCCCGGACUGCGUGUAUCCGAAGAAAAAGCAUCGGCUAACUCCGUGCCAGCAGCCGCGGUAAUACGGAGGAUGCGAGCGUUAUCCGGAUUUAUUGGGUUUAAAGGGUGCGUAGGCGGUCCGUUAAGUCAGCGGUAAAAUUGCGGGGCUCAACCCCGUCGAGCCGUUGAAACUGGCAGACUUGAGUUGGCGAGAAGUACGCGGAAUGCGCGGUGUAGCGGUGAAAUGCAUAGAUAUCGCGCAGAACUCCGAUUGCGAAGGCAGCGUACCGGCGCCAGACUGACGCUGAGGCACGAAAGCGUGGGGAUCGAACAGGAUUAGAUACCCUGGUAGUCCACGCAGUAAACGAUGAAU